CUACGGGCGGCUGCAGUGGGGAAUAUUGGGCAAUGGGCGCAAGCCUGACCCAGCAACGCCGCGUGAGGGAAGAAGGUUUUCGGAUUGUAAACCUCUGUCCUUGGGGACGAAGAAGUGACGGUACCCAAGGAGGAAGCUCCGGCUAACUACGUGCCAGCAGCCGCGGUAAUACGGUAGGGAGCAAGCGUUGUCCGGAAUUACUGGGCGUAAAGGGUGCGUAGGCGGCAUAUUAAGUCAGGUGUGAAAUACUCGGGCUCAACCCGGGGGCUGCAUUUGAAACUGAUAUGCUUGAGUGUGAGAGAGGAAAGUGGAAUUCCUAGUGUAGCGGUGGAAUGCGUAGAUAUUAGGAGGAACACCAGUGGCGAAGGCGACUUUCUGGCUCAUAACUGACGCUGAGGCACGAAAGCGUGGGGAGCAAACAGGAUUAGAUACCCCAGUAGUC
rnacentral:rRNA from 1 species